AUACUUACCUGGCUGGGGAGAUACUAUAAUCACAAAGGUGGUUUUUCUCAGAGUGAGGUUUAUCCAUUGCACCCUGGAUGUGCUGACCCCAGCAAUUUCCCCAAAUGUGGGAAAUUCGACUGCAUAAUUUAAAAAAAAAAUUUUAAUCCUCAACAGAGGACAUUUUU